CACGUAGGGGGCAAGCGUUGUCCGGAAUUAUUGGGCGUAAAGAGCUUGUAGGCGGUUUGUCGCGUCUGCUGUGAAAAUCCGGGGCUCAACCCCGGACUUGCAGUGGGUACGGGCAGACUGGAGUGUGGUAGGGGAGACUGGAAUUCCUGGUGUAGCGGUGGAAUGCGCAGAUAUCAGGAGGAACACCGAUGGCGAAGGCAGGUCUCUGGGCCACUACUGACGCUGAGAAGCGAAGGCAUGGGGAGCGAACAGG
rnacentral:rRNA from 1 species